rnacentral:snoRNA from 18 species
ACCGACGUACUUCAUAGGAUCAUUUCUAUAGGAAUCGUCACUCUUUGACUCUUCAAAAGAGCCACUGAAUCCAACUUGGUUGAUGAGCAUCAGAGCCUCUGCACCCCAGAGUGAGAACAAAGAUUGUUUUAGCUUGGCCAUAAUCCUUAGCGGUUUGGCCAUCUGCAACCUUUGCUAUGCCUUUGCAAUCAGUCGCAACCGGCUUGCCGGCGGCGCAGCUAAAAGGCGCGAUGAUCUUGGCCCGCUCUGUGCACUUCUUCGUGAAGGGACAGUUGCGGGUGGGAGCAGAUGGCAGUCUGACAAGU